rnacentral:misc_RNA from 1 species
GGAAGAACGCAGCGAAAUGCGAUAAGUAAUGUGAAUUGCAGAAUUCAGUGAAUCAUCGAAUCUUUGAACGCACAUUGCGCCCGCUAGUAUUCUGGCGGGCAUGCCUGUCCGAGCGUCAUUUCAACCCUCAAGCCCCCGGGCUUGGUGUUGGGGAUCGGCGAGCCUCCGCGCCCGCCGUCCCCUAAAUCUAGUGGCGGUCUCGCUGUAGCUUCCUCUGCGUAGUAGCACACCUCGCACUGGGAAACAGCGCGGCCACGCCGUUAAACCCCCAACUUCUGAACGUUUGACCUCGGAUCAGGUAGGAAUACCCGCUGAACUUAAGCAUAUCAAUAAGCGGAGGA